rnacentral:rRNA from 1 species
AGCAGCCGCGGUAAUUCCAGCUCCAAUAGCGUAUAUUAAAGUUGUUGCAGUUAAAAAGCUCGUAGUUGAAUUUCGGGGUUAGUAGGUUGGUCAUGCCUCUGGUAUGUACUGGUCUCACUGAUUCCUCCUUCCUGAUGAGCCGUAGUGCCAUUAAUUUGGUGUUGCGGGGAAUUUGGACUGUUACUUUGAAAAAAUUAGAGUGUUUAAAGCAAGCUAACGCUUGAAUACAUUAGCAUGGAAUAAUGAAAUAGGACGUUCGAUCCUAUUUUGUUGGUUUCUAGGAUUGACGUAAUGAUUAAUAGGGAUAGUUGGGGGCAUUAGUAUUCAAUUGUCAGAGGUGAAAUUCUUGGAUUUAUUGAAGACUAACUACUGCGAAAGCAUUUGCCAAGGAUGUUUUCAUUAAUCAAGAACGAAAGUUAGGGGAUCGAAGACGAUCAGAUACCGUCGUAGUCUUAACCAUAAACUAUGCCGACUAGGGAUCGGAUGAUGUUAAUUUUUUAAUGACUCAUUCGGCGCCUUA